rnacentral:rRNA from 1 species
UACGUAGGGGGCGAGCGUUGUCCGGAAUCAUUGGGCGUAAAGAGCUCGUAGGCGGCUUGUCGCGUCGGCUGUGAAAACCUGGGGCUCAACCCCGGGCCUGCAGCCGAUACGGGCAGCUAGAAUUCGGUAGGGGAGACUGGAAUUCCUGGUGUAGCGGCGAAAUGCGCAGAUAUCAGGAGGAACACCGGUGGCGAAGGCGGGUCUCUGGGCCGAAAUUGACGCUGAGGAGCGAAAGCGUGGGGAGCAAACAGG